UUAUGGCGGCGGGCGAGUGCGGUUCCUUGUGUGUGCGUGCGUGGCGUCGCGGUUAGUGUAGUGAUAGAUAGUGUGCGUUAGUUGAUCCUAUUGAAUGCGUCUUCCUCGCGUUGGAUUUGGUGAGUACCCGUAUCACAGGUCACACCGUGGGACUGUCACCGCUGGAGCAACCCUUCGGAAUAAAGGCAAGUACAAAUUACGGUUUGCUAGGCGUUAGGUGUUAGGCAUAGGGCGAUAGGCGGCAAGGCUAACCAUUCUCUUCCAGGUACAUGUUAAUUAUCUAGUCUUCCCCAGUAAUGCCCUGGUUAGCACACCGUGGCGGCGAUCCUGGAGCCUCGUGCUGGUGCUGGUGGUGGUGGUGGGCGUGCACGUGCUAUCAUAUGGGUUGCGUGGUAGGUGCGUUCAGUGGUCUGGGGUGUGUUGGUGCGUGUUCUGAAGAGAUGACCGCAGACACGCUGGCUGCUGAUGACUAGAGCCGCACAGAGGCAGUGUUCUGUACAAGCUGGAUGGAAGUAUGCAAA